AGUGGCGCAAGGGUGAGUAAUGCGAAGGUAACCAACCCUGGUGUUGGGCAUAGCCGCGGGAAACUGCGGGUAAUUCCCAGCGACGUCGCGAGAUGGCAUCAUCUUGCGACCAAAGGUGUGAUUCCGCUCUAGGACGGGCCUUCGUGGUAUUAGGUAGUUGGUGAGGUAACGGCUCACCAAGCCGACGAUGCCUACCGGGUGUGAGAGCAUGACCCGGCACACUGGAACUGAGACACUGUCCAGACACCUACGGGUGGCUGCAGUCGAGAAUCUUCGGCAAUGGGCGAAAGCCUGACCGAGCGACGCCGCGUGAGGGAAGAAGGCCUUCGGGUUGUAAACCUCUUUCGUAGAGGAGGAAGGGGCCGUGCAGAGCGGUCCUUGACCUAUUCUAGGAAGAAGCUUGGGCUAAGUUCGUGCCAGCAGCCGCGGUAAGACGAACCAAGCGAACGUUAUUCGGAAUUACUGGGCUUAAAGCGCGUGUAGGCGGAUGACCACGUCAGUCGUUGAAAUCCCCCGGCUCAACCGGGGAACAGGCGCUGAUACGAGUUGUCUGGAGGUGGGUAGGGGAGACUGGAACUUCCGGUGGAGCGGUGAAAUGCGUUGAGAUCGGAAGGAACGCCCGCGGCGAAAGCGAGUCUCUGGACCCAUUCUGACGCUGAGACGCGAAAGCCAGGGGAGCAAACGGGAUUAGAUACCCCGG
rnacentral:rRNA from 1 species